rnacentral:lncRNA from 1 species
AUGGGGGACUACAGGGGACACACACCCAUGGGGGGUCCCCAAGUGACACCACAUCCGUCCCCCCCCAGCAUCGCUGCUCCUCGCUGGCCGAAGCGGUGCAGUAUUUCGUGGAGAGCACCAAGGGCAGCCUGCAGCUCCUGCACCGGCAGUACAGCCCACGGCUCGGUGAGCGAGACCCCCAGAGCUCAGCACCCCAUCCUGCCCCCCACCAAGCCCUGCAGCUGCCCCACAACCACGGCAUGGCGGAGGAGCUUGCCAAGAAGCUGCAGCUGCGCCGAGCUCUCACCGGGGACUGAUGGGUGCCAGCGUGGAGGGGGGGGCAGCCCGGCUGUCCCCCACUUUGUGCCAGGAACCAGCUGGGACAGCAGUGCCCCCCCCUUCCCCGGGCACAGCUGUCCCUAGUCCC